rnacentral:rRNA from 1 species
AGUGAACGCUGGCGGUAGGCCUAACACAUGCAAGUCGAACGGCAGCACAGUAAGAGCUUGCUCUUACGGGUGGCGAGUGGCGGACGGGUGAGGAAUACAUCGGAAUCUACUUUUUCGUGGGGGAUAACGUAGGGAAACUUACGCUAAUACCGCAUACGACCUACGGGUGAAAGCAGGGGAUCUUCGGACCUUGCGCGAUUGAAUGAGCCGAUGUCGGAUUAGCUAGUUGGCGGGGUAAAGGCCCACCAAGGCGACGAUCCGUAGCUGGUCUGAGAGGAUGAUCAGCCACACUGGAACUGAGACACGGUCCAGACUCCUACGGGAGGCAGCAGAGGGGAAUAUUGGACAAUGGGCGCAAGCCUGAUCCAGCCAUACCGCGUGGGUGAAGAAGGCCUACGGGUUGUAAAGCCCUUUUGUUGGGAAAGAAAAGCAGCAGGUUAAUACCCCGCUGUUCUGACGGUACCCAAAGAAUAAGCACCGGCUAACUUCGUG